CUAGCGACUUCAGAGUUUGAUCCUGGCUCAGGACGAACGCUGGCGGCGUGCUUAACACAUGCAAGUCGAACGAGACGAUUGAAAGCUUGCUUUUGAAAGUCGAGUGGCAAACGGGUGAGUAACGCGUAGACAACCUGCCGCAAAGAUGGGGACAACAGUCCGAAAGGACUGCUAAUACCGAAUGUUGUCAAGUUUCCGCAUGGGAGCUUGAUUAAAGAUGGCCUCUACUUGUAAGCUAUCGCUUUGCGAUGGGUCUGCGUCUGAUUAGCUGGUUGGUGGGGUAACGGCCUACCAAGGCGACGAUCAGUAGCCGGUCUGAGAGGAUGAACGGCCACAUUGGAACUGAGACACGGUCCAG
rnacentral:rRNA from 1 species